GACGAACGCUGGCGGCGUGCUUAACACAUGCAAGUAGAACGCAGUUGCGAACGGGUGAGUAACGCGUAGGUAACUGCCUGGUAGCGGGGGAUAACUAUUGGAAACGAUAGCUAAUACCGCAUACUACCAGAUGGACCUGCGUUGUAUUAGCUAGUUGGUGGGGUAACGACUCACCAAGGCAACGAUACAUAGCCGACCGAGGAUGGUGAUCGGCCAAACUGGGACUGAGAAACGGCCCAGACUCCUAAGGGAGGCAGCAGUAGGGAAUAUUCGGCAAUGGGGGGAACCAUGACCGAGCAACGCCGCGUGAGUGAAGAAGGUUUUCGGAUCGUAAAGCUCUGUUGUUAAGGAAGCGGUACUUAACCAGAAAGGGACGGCUAACUACGUGCCAGCAGCCGCGGUAAUAC
rnacentral:rRNA from 1 species